AGCGGGGUAGAGGCAUUGGUCGACUCAUCAGGCCCAUGACCUGAAGACUGCAGGUUCGAAUCCUGUCCCCGCCU